CGUCUACGAUUGAUCAGUGUCACAAGUAUGGACGACGACAGCAAUGAUUUUGAGGAAAAUGACGAUUUGUAUACCUUACAUAUGAAAAAGCCAAUAAAUGAUCCCUGGUUUCCGAUGCAAAAUACUUCAAAGUUAAAUGCUUUGCCAAAUGUACCUCCGUCAGACCCACUCAGAUCAAUGAAAAGCUCAGAACAAUAUAUUGAAUCGCUAGAAAAGAAGCUUAAGAAAGUUAAAGGCCUUUCUUCCAAAGACGUUAAACAAUCAGAGAUGAUUCGCUCUUUAGAAACCUGCCGUCAUCUGCAGAACUCACAAUAUCUUGCGAGCAAUGACACUAUGAAUGAUACAGUGACGGUUGAUGAAGUUACAAAUUCCAUGUUUGUGGCCAUGCAGAGAAAACUGAACCCCGAAAAACAGGCCCUGAAUCCACUGGAGUUGCUUCCAUUGGUUGAAGAUGAUGUCUUGUCAAAGCAAACAGAAACUCAGGAUGGCAAUCUUACAUGAUUAAUGAUAUACAUGGUGACAUAUAGACAGAAGUUAUACUAUACCAUGUUUAUAACAGUUAUUACAAUUAGCAGUUUGGCCAAGCAAGCACAAAAUUGCAUAUUACUGUAUUGCUUAGGAGCAAGAAAAUGUUACACGCUUUAUAAAUCUGAGAUUCUGAGCAAACACCUAAAUAUAGUAAUUCCAAAAUUUCACACAAUUCAAGGGGAACAACCAGAACAGAAAUAAUCCAAAAAAUAGUGUUCCUAUUCACAACAUUUGACUCUAUUUAGUAGAGAAGCACAAGUUAUGUGUCAAAGGUUUAAAAUGAUUAUUGACAAUAUCAAUCAGUCUUACAGAUGUAUAUUCCCCUAUGAUUACAUAAUACAUGCACCAAAUAUUGAUACAUGUGUAUUUAUUCAUUAAAAUACCAUUCAAAAUGAGAUCACUCCAUAAGAAAUCACAGCACAGUUAUAAAAACAAUCGCGCAAGGAAAAACAAAGGUGCACUUUUCAAAAAAGGAGUAUUUCCAAACUAUAACUGCAGUCAUGCGCCCUGUGCAGAGAAACAAGUUCGAGAUUCUACUCCGUUGAAUUCAGAUCCUGACCAGGAAAGUGUCGUGCGAUUGGGUGAUUCUGUGGCUAACCAUGUCUUUAGUGUGUGUAAGUGUCCUCGGAAUCCACUCCUUCUCCCUUUUAAUCUGCAACCACUUCAAACAGUACCACAGUCUGAAAAUCCAAGUGCUACAAUUGGAAACAGUGCAAAAAUAUCUGACUAUGAGAACAUCAUUGUAAAGAGGACACAGCUUGGAAACAUUUUCAAGUGCAUAUGGAACCUUCAUGAGCGCAUAUUUGUCUGUUGUUGUUAAUGCUUUGAGGCUCAUAACUUAAGUGCUUGAUGUUGACACAACGUUUAUUGUGGCAUAAAUGCGACACAUGCAUUUGUGAUGACAUGGAAUGCUUAUUUACAAGAUAAUAUAGUGCACGGUGAGCUUUAAGCCUUAGCCUUAUGCCGCGGAAACUACACCGCAGAACACCAUAGACGCUUGGAGUGCACGCCCCCUUUCAGAUGUGGCAUUCAUUUAUUAUUUCGUAUUUAUUAUCAAAUAAAUGCUUCAAUCUUA